AGGAGAGAGAGAAAACACAAGGAGUUAACCACCAUCGCCGGUGCUCUCUCAAAGGAAGAGGGGUUAACAGAUGAAUUCGCAAAGACAGCUCUUCUGGCCAAGAAUAUGGAUCAUUUGCAGCACAGAGGCAAGUUGAUAUAUGUAGCAUCAUGACAGUGAAGCAAAUUCCACAAAAACUGCUAAUGGACGGAGAAAUUUCAUGGAGAAAAGCUAGCAGACAGAGCUGGAAUAAAACAAUGGAUGGAGUCUCGCUCUGUCACCCAAGCUGGGGUGCAAAGGCGCGAUCUCAGCUCACUGCAACCUCCACCUCCCGGGUUCAAGUGAUUCUCCUCUCUCAGCCUCCCGAGUAGCUGGAUUACAGGUGCAUGCUGCCACACCUGGCUAAUUUUUUGUAUUUUAAUAGAGAUGGGGUUUUACCGUAUUGCCCAGGCUGGUCUUUUACUCCAUUUAUUUUUUUAAAACAACCUUAAGCAAAUGCAUCAUAAGUAUAAAGAUGAAGCAGAACCCGAGGAUUCAUAUCCAGGAAAAGGCCUAGGUUUUUCUAAGUUAAAAGAUCAGCAAAUAAAUGUACAUUUAAAUGUUCUAAGCUGAAAUAAAAUGUUGAAGGUAAA
rnacentral:lncRNA from 1 species